CACGUAGUUAGCCGUCCCUUUCUGGUUAGAUACCGUCACUUGCAUAACUUUCCACUCUAUGCAACGUUCUUCUCUAACAACAGAGUUUUACGAUCCGAAAACCUUCUUCACUCACGCGGCGUUGCUCGGUCAGACUUUCGUCCAUUGCCGAAGAUUCCCUACUGCUGCCUCCCGUAGGAGUUUGGGCCGUGUCUCAGUCCCAAUGUGGCCGAUCACCCUCUCAGGUCGGCUAUGUAUCAUCGCCUUGGUAGUCCAUUACACUACCAACUAGCUAAUACAACGCGGGUCCAUCUCUCAGUGUACCAAUUGGUACUUUCAAAUUAAGAUUAUGCAAUCUCAAUUGUUAUGCGGUAUUAGCUAUCGUUUCCAAUUAGUUAUCCCCCGCUGAUAGGUAGGUUACCCAGCGUUACUCACCCGUUCGCUACUCUUGAUUUUCGGUGAAGCAAGCUUCGGUGAAAAUCAAGCGUUCAACUUGCAUGUAUUAGGCACGCCGCCAGCGUUCG
rnacentral:rRNA from 1 species